CCUACGGGGUGCUGCAGUCGAGAAUCAUUCACAAUGGGGGAAACCCUGAUGGUGCGACGCCGCGUGGGGGAAUGAAGGUCUUCGGAUUGUAAACCCCUGUCAUGUGGGAGCAAAUUAAAAAGAUCGUACCACAAGAGGCAGAGACGGCUAACUCUGUGCCAGCAGCCGCGGUAAUACAGAGGUCUCAAGCGUUGUCCGGAAUCACUGGGCGUAAAGCGUGCGUAGGCUGUUUCGUAAGUCGUGUGUGAAAGGCGCGGGCUCAACCCGCGGACGGCACAUGAUACUGCGAGACUAGAGUAAGGGAGGGGGAACCGGAAUUCUCGGUGUAGCAGUGAAAUGCGUAGAUAUCGGGAGGAACACUCGUGGCGAAGGCGGGUUCCUGGACAUUAACUGACGCUGAGGCACGAAGGCCAGGGGAGCGAAAGGGAUUAGAUACCCUGGUAGUC
rnacentral:rRNA from 1 species